GGCCGGUCUGACCCCGCCCACUCCAAGGCCCCGUCCUGCCCCCUUCCUAGCCACGCCCCCCGCCAGACACAGCCCAGCCCCUUCGCAGCUGUGCGCCCCGCCCACGGAGGAGGCCACGCCCUCUUCCGGUGGCUGUCUCGCUGGAGGCCGAAGAGGCGAGCCCGGGCGGGGCUUGGCCUGACGAGCCCGGGCGGGGCUUGGCCUGACAGGCCCGAGCCGACCCGCCCCUUCGCGGUUGCCUCAGGAAAGAGCCAGAUUUGUUUGUUUGUUUGCUCAUAGCUUUUCCUUCUCUCAACUCCUCGCUCAUCCAGAAAUAGAGACUUCAAGUACUGCUGUUAAUGAAGACUUGCCUCUGGAUUGACUGAUGUUCUCCAACUCUGGCCAAUAAGUUACAGUGCUUUGGUGCCUGGCAGUUUGUCAUCCCUGAAGGAACUUGGCAUGUCAGCAAGGUAGAGGGCAGAGAGGAUGCUGGGAAGAGUCACAAGGAAAUGCCAGGAGACACAGAGGAAGCAGGAUAUGCAAGAGGAGAGGUAACAAGCGAAGGCUUCCUCUGGUACAGGACCCAGCCUCAGACAGCAUAAGCAUAACUACCCCCACUCUGACACUAAUUACUAAACCCAGAGCCUCCAGGAUGCUAGCCAGGUGCUCUACCACUGAACUAUCUCUUGAGACCUUCUAGGAUAGUUUGCUGAAUCCUUUACCACCAUGGAUGCCAUAUUCUAGAAUUACUCUGGAUCUUCCUCUUGCUGUGUCAGAACACCAUCCCUGGAGAACCUCAGCACUGUCCUUCACCACCCAGACUACAGGCAAACCAGUUGUUGCGGGCACAGCAGAAAAUAGAGAAAGGGGUGUAAUUGCCCUGCCUGAAGGGAUUUCAGCAAAGAAAGAGACCUUAACAGAAGAGAAAGGUCUUACUUGUAGUACAACAGAGCAUAAGUGAGUUCAUGGUUCAAGGUGAAGUUCAAACAAGGCAGAUGGCUGUGGAUAAUGCUGUAACAUUAGGUUCUGACUGGCAAACAAUCUGACAAAUGAUAAGCACUUUCAGGUCUGUAGGAGCAUGUUACUCCCAAUACUCCAGGAUAUUGGUGGCCUGUGGGUUCUGCAUAGCAAGAUCUACAAGUAAACACCAGAGAGAAGAGAGAAGCUUGAUCAGAAACUACUACAUUGCCCUGAAACAUGAACAGGAAAUACUUCAUUUGUGUGAUGUCACUUGUGUCUCAGAAUUUGCAUAUGACAGCCUCUUGUAACAUUAAAACUGACACAAUUUCAAUGGAAA